rnacentral:lncRNA from 1 species
UUAAUUUUCUAUGUUUUAAAUUAUGUAAUGUGGUUUUAAUUAAUAUAAAAUAUGUUAUUUAUAAAAUGUUAUUUAUAAAAUAUGUUAUUUAUUUAAUAUUUUAUUUACUUAACAAGAUGGUAAAAAAAUAAAAAAAUAAUAUAAAAGUGAAUGUUGUUAGUGGUGACAAUUUCCAUAGUGGAGUAGGUUGGUGGGGAAGAUGACGUGGCGCAGAGGUGGCGUCACUUUUCCGGUGAGUUUGUAGUGACCACUCCAUAUAGCCUUGCCACCACCACCACCCUCGACUUUUCUGUAAACACUGCCACCACCGGUCAAUACCUCUCUCUCCCACCAUCACCUGCCGGAAAAAUAUGAACAACCACCGCCUCUCUCUCUCUCCUGAUGAACCCACAGUCUUUCUCCAGAUUUUCUAACAUACAUGAAUACAAAAAAAUCUGAAAUUUAACAUACAUGAACACAUAAACAAUCAAGAAAUUUGAACACACACACUAAAAAAUCAUAAACUUAAAAAACAAGAACACAUACAAAACCCAUAUAUUUUCUAUCACUUCAAGUGGGAGACGAAGAGACAGAAAUGUUGAUCGGAGAUCGGAGCUACAAACUUUGCUUGGUCCGUUAUCACUUCAAACCUUCACAAACGUAGAUCGAACUUCUGCCUCGUAUCACCGUCUUCUCCUAUAAAACCCUAAUCGUUCUUCUGCCUCCUAUCGCCACCGCCCUUCGUGGUGAAACCCUUGGUAGUUUUGAUGCCUCUGAUCGAUGAAAGGGAAUUCCAACAACUAGACGAGAAGGGAGGUCCGAAGAUCUGUUUGUGGUGAAGGGGUGAAGCAAGAAAGGAGAGAGACGCUCAAACCCAACAACGUCGCUCAAAUCCUUACGUUGGCGGCUAGGGGUUUCAUAUGGAUUGUCCUCUAUGUCCNGCUAGGGUUUUCAUAUGGAUUGUCCUCUAUGUCCUCUGCUCCGAUGACGACUUCACCUCUGCAAAGCCUACAUCGAAACCCCCUCGUUCCAGCUGCCAUCAUCGCCUCUUUAAACCCAAACUUUGUCUCUCCCCUUCUCCAACGAUGGUGCCUAGUUUCGGAUCAGAAGGGAAUCAGAUCAGGUUCAAAGGUUGCAUAGUCGUGGUGGCGGCCAAGAGUUAACAGAAGAAAGGAAGACGGCGUCGGAGGUUGGUGAGGGGGCGGUGAAGGCGGAUAGUGGUUGCAGUUAGGGUGUUAUUGUGUGUGUGUGUUUCCCUAACAGAGAGAGAAAGAGAGGUGACGAGAGAGAGAGAGCAUUUUUCUUUUCUUUUUUUAUUUAUUUUGUAAAAAAAUUGAAAAAACAAUAUGCAAAGGGCAAAGUCGUCAUUUAAAACCAUAAUGGACCAAACUCGUAACAAAAUAAAACUGUUUGGACCACUGGUGCUAGUCCAAACCUGUUUGGCCUAAAGUGACAUUUUUCAACAUACCACAAGGACCAUUCUUGCAAUUUUGUCAAAAAUUUAAACUAGGAUAGAGUGUGCUUCACUUCGGACAAUAAGUGCUAGUAUCAUUCAUAUUGUAUCCCACCUAGCUACAGAUGCAAUUUUUUUUUCAUCGAAGUCAAUAUUGUAAGGUAUUUUUGCACAUUUGAUACCAUAAGGUAUUUUAGCAUUCAAGUUUAAGUUCUCAGUGGCUUUUGGCGCUUUUUCAAACUUAUUUCUUAUGAAGGUUUGAAUGUUUCUUUUUCUAAAUACGGAAUUAAUCUAAAGGUGGAGUUUGUUGAAAUAUAAUUUGAUUCCAUCCUUUUUUUUUUGGCAACACUUUGUUAGAAUUUUUGUUUAUGCGAGUUAUUUUCUCUUUCUGAGGACAUCACCUCAAACAGAAGGAGAGAGUUAGGCUUGAUAUGGAGAAACUUUUUCUUUUCGAGAUGACCUCAAAUAGGAGCGUGUGGAGACUAAAAAUCAUAGUGGACGGGUAGCCUUGCUCCCGUGUAUGUUUUGUUUCAUGAUUGACCAUUUGACAUAUAUUUUGUGCUCUUAUCUUUGCAUCAUGGUCUAUUCAUCUAUUGUUUUACUGCUCACAUUUUACGUACUUUCUAUUGUCUUGCCUAUUUUCUAGGUUCUUGGAGUUGGAGACCCUAAUUUGAUUUUUUUAAUCUUUAUGUAUUUAUGCUAACUCUGAUUUACAUUCUAUGUUUGUAUUUUUUACAUGUUGUCAGUUGCUCAUGUCGGAGGUCAUCUAUCCAAAGCAAUCUUUUUACCCCAUAUGGAGGUAUAAGUGCCGACAUCUACCUCCCCUACCCCAUCUCAAUGGGAUAUCUGAGGUUUGUUGUUGCUGUGUUAUUCUUUGUUAAGGCAACGUUUCUAGAAUUAUCGUUGCAUAAGGUUUUUUUUUUUUCUUUUUUUUUUUUUUGUGGUUCGAUUUCUAUCCUGAUUAGGAGGUCGUUACUUGGUUAUCAAGUCACAAUAUUAUUUAGGAAUGUUUCCCUUAUUAUUAGGAGUUAUUCAAGUAAAAACAUCCACAAUGCAUUAAACUCCAACAAAAUCAAUAGAUUGUUACAUCAUUAUUCCAUGAAACUUUAUCAUUUUGAUAUUCCAAUGCAUUGAACUCUACAAAAUUCAAUGAAAUAUUAGGAUAGUUAAUUUAUAAUAUUUAUAACUCCAUGUGUUGUUUCCCGUGUAUGUUUGUCAAUUCUUUAAUCAAAGGCAUCCCAUUUACCAUAUGAUUAUUGACGUGACAAAACGCUUAUGCCAAAGAUAAGAAACAUUCUAUGUUCAUGUAUAAGAGUUGCUAUGCAAUUCAUCUAAGCGUAUCCAAAUUGUUCAAUUCUUCAAUUGAACACAAUGCGACUUAAACUUGAGCGUUAUUAGCUUAGACACUUCUCCGUGAUUAGUUUCUCCUAAACAACUUCUUCAUAGAUGGGCCUUUAAUACAGUUUGAAAAAAAUACGAAUGGGCCUUUAUAUGUGUUGUUUCCCAUGUAUCUUUUUGGCCCGAUUGAAGGCCCAGUUGUUGAUUCCAAUAUUCAAAGAAUAUUUCUAUUAAUCUCCCACAAGGAUCACAAAUGAGUGGUAGAUAGCUGGGUCCCAUCUUCAUACACCCCUUCACCAGCCUCACAUUUCCAUAUCCCAAUCUAAACUUUUAAUAAAAAUAGUUUACAAAAUAAAAAAAAAAACACAAAUCUUUGCCUUCUGAACUCAGCCAUGGCAGCAACGACAUCUUCAAACCUCCUUCACUUCUCCAGUUCCCACUCAACUUCACGCCUAUCCCCUCUCAAAACCGCCCUCUUUUCAUGCUCCAAGAGAAAGCUUCCGGUGGCCGGUGGUGGUGCCGCCACCACCACAGGUGGAGUACGGUGCAUGGCGGUGGCAGCAGAGGCGGCGUCUGUAAAGAAGACGAGUUCUUAUCAGAUAAUGACAUUGACAACCUGGUUGUUGAAACAAGAGCAAUCUGGAAUCAUCGAUGCUGAACUUACCAUCGUCUUGUCCAGCAUUUCAAUGGCUUGUAAACAGAUCGCAUCUUUGGUGCAGCGAGCCAGCAUCUCCAACAUGACCGGAGUUCAGGGAGCUGUUAAUAUUCAGGGAGAGGAUCAGAAGAAGCUCGAUGUCAUCUCCAAUGAGGUCUGUUACGUCACUGUCACUAGUACUGUACUUUUUCGCAAAUCAUGUCUCAAAUUGAUCCCAAUACAUUUAGACAAAAAUAAUAUAAUAAGUAGAGUAAAUUUUUGCUUGAAUUUUAACUGAAGAAGAAGAUUACAGUGACUUUUAUUUAUUUAUUUAUUUAUUUUGCGUCACUUUGGGAAAACAGGGUGUUGCGAAUUUUCACAAAUGAACAGCUCUUCAAAUCUUGCAUGAAAUAAUUAUAUGAUACCUAAUCGGAUACUUCAUUUAGUGAUACAUUCAUCCAUUUCUACUUGAAUUGGAAAAAAGAGUUGGGUGUUAACUAGUUGAAAAAUGUGGUGGAUUCAACAGGUGUUUUCGAAUUGUUUGAGAUCGAGUGGAAGAACUGGGAUCAUUGCAUCGGAGGAGGAGGACGUGCCGGUGGCGGUGGAAGAGAGUUACUCCGGCAACUACAUUGUGGUGUUUGAUCCUCUUGAUGGAUCAUCCAACAUUGAUGCUGCUGUUUCAACUGGUUCUAUUUUCGGAAUCUACAGUCCAAACGACGAGUGUCUCCCUGAUCUUGACGAUAACUCCACGGUAACUUCCCGAUCAACUUGACUUUUAAGGUCAAACAGAUUCCAAUCAAACGCCGAUUGUUGGCUCUUGAAGUGAAAAUAGAUGUUUGAAGCUAACAAUAGAAAUUAAUUCUUGUAUAUGCAGCUGGACACCGAGGAACAGAGGUGCAUCGUGAACGUAUGCCAGCCCGGAACCAACCUUCUGGCAGCCGGUUACUGCAUGUACUCAAGCUCCGUCAUCUUCGUGCUCUCCAUAGGAACCGGCGUUUAUUCA